GCAGCCAGGCCUGCCUGGCGUUGGGAUAUAGGGGGCCCCUCCUAGAUCGUUCAAACUGGGAGUUGUUGGGAAGCUAAGAGGACCGCCUGCCUGCGCCUAGGCUGGGAGAGCUGUCUGGAGGGGGCGCCUUUCUGGAUGUGAUUGGAGGUGUUGGGAGUCGGCCUGGCUGCUGAGGAAGAAAAGACAACAAAAAGAUUUCACGCGCAACUUGACCCAGACAAAGGGACCUCAUGCCCAAUCUCCUUUUGAAAGGUGACAACUGACAAAAAAGGAAAACUUUAUCUUCAGCCUACUUGAGCAGUACAUCUGGAAACCCUCUUUAAGAAGAAGGUGUAACGGAAGUCAUUUACCAACCCUAAACUGACUUUGAGGCUAAAGUGACAGGCUGAGAAGCUCGAGAGACUUGGCCCUACGCUUUAGUUUUAGUUUUCUCCUUCCCGUGUUCAACCAGCCCGAGCUUUCAGACAC
rnacentral:sRNA from 1 species